rnacentral:lncRNA from 1 species
AAAGACACCAAAUACAAGUAGUUACUGAAACUAGUCAUUAGAUCGAUUCUAAUCACAAAAAUAACAAAAACACCAUGUACCCGUAGCUACUGAAACUAGUCAUCAGAUAGUUUCUAUUCACAAAAAUAACAAAAGACACCAAGAUAUAUCCUUAGUUACCGAAACUAACCAUCAGAUAGUUUCUAUUCACAAAAAUAACAAAAGACACCAAGUAUCCUUAGUUACUGAAACUAACCAUCAGAUAGAUUCUAUUCACAAAAAUAACAAAAGACACAGCUAGAGAACCCGACGUUACUGAAACUAACCAUCAGAUCUGUUCUAUUCACAAAAAUUAUGAAAAGACAAAGUAUCCGUAUUUACUGCAACAAGUCAUUAAAUCGGCUCUGAUAAAAAAAAAUGAAAGACACAAAGUACCCGUCGUUACUAAAAGACGUCAUCAGAUCAGUUACAAUCACAAAAAUAACCUUAAACACCAAGAACCCGUAGUUACUGAAACUAGUACACAGAUCGGUUAUAAUCACAAAAAUAACCUGAAACACCAAGAACCCGUAGUUACUGAAACUAGUACACAGAUCGGUUAUAAUCACAAAAAUAACCUGAAACACCAAGAACCCGUAGUUACUAAAAGACGUCAUCAGAUCAGUUACAAUCACAAAAAAUAACCUUAAACACCAAGAACCCGUAGUUACUGAAACUAGUACACAGAUCGGUUAUAAUCACAAAAAUAACCUGAAACACCAAGAACCCGUAGUUACUAAAAGACGUCAUCAGAUCAGUUACAAUCACAAAAAUAACCUUAAACACCAAGAACCCGUAGUUACUGAAACUAGUACACAGAUCGGUUAUAAUCACAAAAAUAACCUGAAACACCAAGAACCCGUAGUUACUGAAAAACGUCAUCAGAUCAGUUACAAUCACAAAAUAACCUUAAACACCAAGAACCCGUAGUUAC